AUUAAACAAUAGAAAUUGAACUAUAUUACAAUACUCCUUCACCCACAACCACACCUUUACAGGAAUCAAAUCUUACUGCAUUCGAUGACCCUUGAACUACAAACCAGGACAACAGAUAACCUUGCACAUGGGGUGGUCAACUAUGGUUUGAAUGACAGUAUGACCUGAUUGAUGGCAGAUGAGAGACACCAUCAAAGAUAUGUGUAAACAGCCUGAGUACUGCAAAGCCCUGCAAGCCUUGCAAUGCCUAUGAGAAGAAUUCAAGGACUCUUGUUUUGAGAAAGUUUGGAUGGAGUGUCAGAAGGAUGGAAUGGAGCCAGAAAUUAGACUUAAAGAGGCACAGCAUCCAGUGUUCAGGGCUGUAGCCAGAGUGGAUUAGUCAACCACUGAAGACUACGGAGGAAAGGAUGUCGACGGAGUGACUAACUGGAGAGUCCACCCCCAUGCAGUGUUAUUCGGAGAUUUGGUGAUGUAAGAAUCUAGGGCAAUUUAAGGAAUUGUGUUGAACAGACCAAUUUGGGGUUACAAAUAAAAAUGAUUGUUUUCACACAA